GUGAAAAGUUCUCUUCCCCAGAAAGAGAAACCACUCCUUGCACACAAAUCCUGCUCAUCACACCAGCUGUCUGCUAGUGACACUGUGGAGCCAGGAAAUGCUUCUACAAAUGUCAUUUCCAGGUGUUUAAUGUGAUAACAGAUGUGCUGCAUGGUACCAGGUGAAUCACAUGGUGAUGUGGGCUGUGCCAUACACAGAUGUAAUGGGGUCACCGAGAUGACUGCUUCACCUACACUUGAGAAACCCACAGAAUUAUGACAACAGGAAUAACUGAUGUGUACUCUACAAAGGUGUGACCAAUGGCUGAGUUGAUAGCAGCAUUGUAAGUGAAGAUUGCAAGAUCAUUAGAGCUCAAGAGACUGGAGCUUCUGUAACAUGGGGAAUGGCUUGUUUUCCACAUUCGGAUGGAGAUGGGGGGGUGUGACUGGAUUCCAAUGACUGCAAGAGCACUGAGUCACAUUAAGUGGACGAUGAGAAUGAUGUUGAAAUAUAUGUUUUGUUUGAGUCUACAUUCAAUAUGCAGAAUGAGAAUAAUGGGAAGAUUAAAUUUCUGGAGCUUCCUGAGAUCUCAGUAGUAGUUCUACAAACAUCAAAGUAGAUCACAGUUGUGUUGUAAGUGUGUAAGGAAAAUAUUGCUGGAAGUAGUAUUUUGAAAGAGAAUGAACAAUCUGCUUGGAACCCGCAGUGCAUGGAGAUGACCAGCAGAGGGCAGAGCCGCAAACGUCUUUCAAAGCAACCUUGUGUCCCUCCCACCUGCUCAAGGAA